rnacentral:tRNA from 1 species
UCCUGGUGGUCCAGUGGUUAGGACUCCACACUUCUACUGCGGCGGACCUGGGUUUGAUUCUUUGUCCAGGAA